rnacentral:rRNA from 1 species
GAUUUCUGGUACGGCGCACUUGGCCCGCCUCGGUUACGGGGUAGUGUGCCGGUGUGCGCCUGCCAUCCUUCUAGAAAACGUGAUUGCCCUUCACUGGGUUUUUCACGGGGUCUAGAUCAUUUACUUUGAAAAAAUUAGAGUGUUUAAAGCAGGCUUUUGCUAUGAAUACAUUAGCAUGGAAUAAUAAUCUAGGACUUCGGUUCUAUUUUGUUGGUUUCUAUAACUGAAGUAAUGAUUGAUAGGGAUAGUUGGGGGUGCUAGUAUUGGCCGGCCAGAGGUGAAAUUCUUGGAUUCGGUCAAGACUAACUUAUGCGAAAGCAUU